rnacentral:tRNA from 1 species
GCCGAUUUAGCUUAGUGGUAAAGCGAUUAGGAGUACUCGUUAACAUGACUAUUGGACGCAGGUUCGAUUCCUGCAUUCGGCU